rnacentral:lncRNA from 1 species
ACUUGACUUGAUGUCGAGGCUGCAGUGAGCUGAGAUCGCACCACUCCUAGAUGAUAAGAGUGAGAGCCUGUCUCAAAACAAAGAAAAGAAAGAAAGAACGAAAGAGAAGAAAAUACAGGUAUUACGGCCUAGACAUUCUUUCAGAUGCCAGAGGAUGCUAUAGAAAAAUGCGUGCCCUCUUGUAAUACUUUGUUCAAGUUCUGAUCAGAAGGAUGAAUGAUGGAGCCCAAGAAGCCAGAGUCUCAUUGUGUUGCUCAGGCUGGAAUCCAGUGGCAUGAUCUCGGCUCAGUGCAACCUCCGCCUCCUGGGUUCAAGC